rnacentral:lncRNA from 1 species
UAGAUUUUUCUGGAUUGUAGCUUGAACCAGGUGUUCCAGUGAACUUUCCGAGCAGUUCAUACAUCAACAGGUUGAAGAACUCUGUUUACAAUUUCUUGUCAAGCAGGUCUAGUGAUGAUUAACUCCUUCAGCUUUCGUUUGUCUGGGAAAAUAUCAUUCUUUUAUUUCUAAAGAACAACUUUGCAGGUAGAGUUUGCUUUAUUGGUGGUUUUUCUUUUUCUUCUUCUUUUAGCAUUUAAAUAUGUCAUUCCACACUCCCCUGACCUGUAAGUAUUCUGCCUAGAAAUCUGCUGAAAACCUUAGACAUUC